CCUACGGGAGGCAGCAGUGAGGAAUAUUGGUCAAUGGGCGUAAGCCUGAACCAGCCAAGCCGCGUGAGGGAUGAAGGUCCUAUGGAUCGUAAACCUCUUUUAUAAGGGAAUAAAGUGCGGGUCGUGUCCCGUUUUGUAUUUACCUUAUGAAUAAGGAUAGGAUAACUCCGUGCCAGCAGCCGCGGUAAUACGGAGGAUCCGAGCGUUAUCCGGAUUUAUUGGGUUUAAAGGGUGCGUAGGCGGCCUUUUAAGUCAGCGGUGAAAGUCUGUGGCUCAACCCUAGAACUGCCGUUGAAACUGGGAGGCUGGAGUGUGUGUGAGGCAGGCGGAAUGCGUGGUGUAGCGGUGAAAUGCUUAGAUAUCACGCAGAACCCCGAUGGCGAAGGCAGCCAGCCAGGCCAUGACUGACGCUGAUGAGCGAAAGCGUGGGGAUCAAACAGGAUUAGAUACCCCUGUAGUC
rnacentral:rRNA from 1 species